GCCAUAUUGAAAGAAAGACUAGUUUUAUCCACUAAAAUGAAUACCAUUCCAUCUGGUGACAUUGUCACGAAACUAUAAUAUAAUAAUUAACCAAUCAGAUAUUUCUUUCUGCUCACGACGAACGAAUUACAAAUCUCCUUUCAUCUAACAUUUGACUUCAAGAAACGACAUCAAAAUGGUGCAGUGAAAAAGAAAACGGUGAAGUGUGAGUUUCUGUAAAAAAAUUAUUCUUUUGAACGAGAUUUUCGCAGUUAUUUUAAAGUUUCUUGUUCACAGUAUUGAAUUGCUGAAGAUCCAAGACAUUUCUAAAUGUUCGUUGAAAAAUGUGACUUGGGAAUUGUGGAAAUACUUCGUGAAAAGAAAAAUCCUUCAAGAUUUUGAAUUUCUAUCGGAAAUGAAAAUGAAUAUGGACGAGUGUAAGAAAAAGAACAAGUUACAAAAGGACAAUUAUAAUAUUAUAAUGGUUAUAUAAAUUGUUGGGGACUAAUAAAGCAAGAAAGAAUUGGUCGACAUCGAGGUUAUGUUCGAGAGUUAACAAGGUGGGUUUACGUAACGCGGACGUAAUAAGUUAUUAUUCAACCCCGUUCGUUGGAAAAAACAAGCCUGCGUAAACUGGAAAACGAAUCGAAGUCGAAGUGUUUCGGUAAGUAGUGGCCGGUUGGCUAGGGAGAAGAGGCAAACGAGAUGCACAUCCAUCAGAGGCAGGGAGGAAAUGGCGAGGGUGUAGGCGAUCCUUUAGAAGCAACAGCUUUCGUUGCUUUGCAAGCUCGGAGGUCUUCCACGAAAAACAAACCAACGUUAAUCGACGAAUGUAAACACGAGCGGAGGACAAAUCGAGAAUUAAGCGUCAUUUGGUUGUAAGAAACCAAAGCGGGCAGACGUAGAAACAAUCUCGUGCGAUAAUUCGAUUUUCAACGGCCGUAUCAGAGGCUUCCGGCACGCUGGACGCCGCGAACCCGGACCCUGCUGCACUGGAUAACCUUUUCGUGGGAGAAAUUACGAUCCUCAACCUCGUGGCAACCGGGUGAUCGUGAUUUAAUUACGGAUGCCCUGGAUGGGCGUUAAAAGAGACCUUUCCUCUUUCACUUUAACGAGACGCCUCGUCCACGUGAGAGAAGUUGGGAAGAUUGGCAUCGCCCAGAGAAAUCUCGUUUCACGUGCACCCUUUCACGCAGCCGGUAUUCAAGAACGCGGAUAACCGUGGAAAGGUAGGCGAGAUUAAGGUGGAACGAGAUUGUCCAAGUUUGUCGUUGCUUGGAAAAUCAUUGUGAGUAAAAAAGAGGGGUGAGUAAAAAUAAUUGGUAAUUUUAUUUUUUAAAUUAAUGCUUUCAGAUUCUCUGAUUUAUUAGCAUUUUUCCGUGAAAUAUUUGAAUAUAUUUUGAUAAGUUUCGAACGAUACUAAAAGAUAAGAAAUUCUAGAAAGAAAGGAAUUCGAGCUCUGGAAACGUUGCGAAAGAAAAUAGUAUUCCGUUAAAAAUAAGAUUAUUAAUCUCGAUAGGAAUUUAUUAUAUGAUUCCUAUAUCAACAAUUGACUUUUUGUAUCUUGUUAGAAACGAUUUUCCUAUUCAGCCUUGGAACAAUUCUAAUAAUUUCGUACACACCUUUGUAAUAACACAAUGUUUUCACGUCAUACACGACAAGGAAAACGCAAAAUAUAUUUUCUCUUUGAUACUCGUCAUUGUCAGAGAGAAACAUUUCCUUCCGAGAAGGAAAUUUAAAUUCUUGAUAACUUCAACUUGAUUACUCGUUGAAAUAUUUAUAUAUAAGUCUUUGAAACAUAGAUUACGUAGACCAUCGCGCUUUGUAAGGCUAUACACCAUUGUGAAAUAUUCAAAUGACAGUUUUUUUUUGUUUUCAUGGAUGAAAAGAACAGAGUUUCUGGUAAGACUGGAUUAAAAAAGUGACUUGUAUAUUUUUACGUAUCGUUCGGGUAUUAUAAAAUACAAAGAUGUUGAUUAUUAAAUGAAUUGAUGUUUUAAUUAUUCUUACGAAAUAAGCUACACGUAGCUUAUCGUAAAUCUCAGCUCAACUAAAACAUAUCAAGUUUUAUAAACUGUACGCAAACGGAUAUUAUAAAUAUCAUAUUUAAAAGAUAAAUUAUAUUUUAAAAAAUAUUUCGGCAAAUCAUUUCAAUUUUCACACUCGCAAAAAGAAUACAGAAAUAGAAUAAAACGAUUGAAACGCGCAUUGAAAGCGCUCUUCCUAAAAUUGUUCAACGAAACAAAUAUUCAAAAUAUGAAGGAAAUUGUUCAGACGACAUAAUGGCGCAUUGAUUCGAUGAAUGGGUGGUGGAAAACCGGUGCUCGCGCAAUUUAUGUCCAGCGAAGAAGGAAUUUCCGAAAAUUCCAUUAACCAUUUAAUUCCAUGCAAAGUGAACAUUAAAACGCGGACUAAAUUCCUUUCGGCAAACAGACGAGCAACCUCUUUUCCCUAAAACCGUAAUCACGUUUAUACUGCCGUGAUCGUUCGCCUCGCGUCUAAAACGAAUUCUCUUGCCAAGUUUCUUUUUUUCUCUCUCUCAUUUUUCCUUUCUUUUUUCUUUCUCUUCUCCUCUUCCUCCUUCUUCUUCUUCCUCUUCUUCUCGUUCUUUUUUCAUCUCGGAACGCAUGCAAAUUAAUCGCAUUAUCGAUGAAGGAACAAACGAGCACGUUGUUCCUUCUCUCUGUUUUCCGAAAACACAUGGAGAAAUUGAAAAUUCUGCCAAUGUUAUAGGUAACAUAAAGAAAGGUUAUAAACUGGAAUCCAAGAUAAUUUAUGGAAAAGGCAUUCCGCCAAGAUUUAAGGGUGAGUUUCCUGUUGCACUUGUAAAUCUUCUUACGUGUUAUAUUGUUUUACUUGAACUUGGAUCGAUCUGAUUUAUGGGAAAACAUUUUCUGAAAAUAUCAAAAUUAAUAUUUAGAGAUUCUUAUUUUAAGCGUGUAAAUUUUUGUAUUUAUAUCAUUCCCUUGUAACUAUCAUUAUGUAAAGAAAAUUGUUUCGAUUAAAAAUUAAUGGUUUCGAGAAGAGUAAUAUGAUUAUUGUUCGAAUAUAUAGAAAUCUGUGUGAUUAAAUUUUUUUUGGAAUGCAAUCACACGAUUUUAUAUACGUUAUUUUACCAUUUUCCUCUCGUACAUAUAUAUGGGACAUCGUACAUUGAACAAUGAUUGGAAUUGAAACUUAAUUUUACGUUAAAAUUUAAUAAAUACUAAUUAAUAAUAAUAAACACUAACUAAUGAGAUCGUAAAGAUCGAUCGUGCAAUAUCAAAGUAGUAUAUAUCAAUCAUAUUGUCAAUCAGAGAGUAGUAUAGAUCGACUAUAAUAUACUUUUAAAUCCUGUAAUAUUAAAAAUUCAAUAAAAGAUGGCAGCUGUUAUCGUAAGAAGUAAAUAAUGCAAAAGAUAAGUGUCUUGUAAAAUCUAGAAUAUAUCGUCAAAGAAACGAUUGAAAAAAGUGGUGUAUAUAAUAUUUUGUUCAAAUUGAUCACUUGCAAAACUUCCAGAAUACAGGUAUUAAGUUAUUAGUAAAAGAGUUUUUGUAAGAUAAUCGUUAUUCCUUUGCAAAGUUAUUAAAAUAUAAAUCUAUUCUAAGAUCAACAAAUAUCAAGAGGAAAAAAUAUCAAAGAUGAAAUUGGUUAAAUUACACGAUAUUCGAUAAUUCAACGUCUGAGCUCGAGGCAAAAUUUCUACGAUCCCAAAAGCUGCUCUUUUGCCUUUUAACAAUCGUUCUUUCCAUUCUUCCUCCUUCAUCCCUCUUGUCAUAAGAUUUAAUUUCAUCCUGUGUUGCUUUUUCUUUUCGUUUUUAACGACCAGACGAUACUCAUUAGAAAACAUUUUAGUUUUUACCUCGGUGCAUGCAAAUUUUCUUUUAUUUUUAAUAUCAAAAUUUCUUUUAUUCCUUUUCUAUUUUUUUCUUUCUGUCUUUCUUUCUCUUUCUCUCUCUCUCUCUCUUUUUUUAACAGAAAUUCUACGAACCAAAGAACAAGUCUCAUCGUUGGUCUGAUGGGAUUAAGUAUAGUGGAAGUGGAUUCGAACAUUGACAAAUUCGUAUUCGAAUCUUCUGUGACUUAAAUUAAUUAAUUAAUUUAAGUUAUUCGGAAAUUCUGUUUAUUGCCAAUAAUUCUUUGCAAUUUUCUUGAAUUUGUUGUAAGAACAACAAAUGUAUUUAUCUCUUACAAUUACUUGUUAUAAGAAAUUCGAUUCAUUCUGGUGUCAAGGUACUUUAAAUUUUCAAAACUGAUGAAUAUUGGAACUCGUUCCGAGUGUUUUACAAAUAUUAGAAGAAAACCAUUAUUUCUUAGCAAUGGGAAUCAAAUAAAUAUUUCAUAUUUAUUACUUGGAUUUAUAUUCAACUUGCUCCUCGAAUAAGAACGAAAAAAGUGAAGGAAAAAAAUACACGAGAAUGGAGAACAGUUGACGAAACGAAAGAAAAAAAAAAGAAAGAAAAAAAAGGAAGAAAGAAAAGAAAAAAAGACAGGAAUCACAACUUGAACAUCGAAUGACUGGAAGUUGAAAAAGGAGGACAAAAAGCUGUAUAGCCCUUUCAACGUAUCGUUCCACGAUCCCGACGUCGAAAGCCUUUGCACGAUCGUUUUUCCCGCGUUUUUUCCCGCUCUCUCAUUCCUUCUACUUUCUUCGACCCCGUAUUACUCUUGUUUCCAGCAUUAAUUUCUCUCUCGCUCGCUUCUCUCGACUAACUUUUGUUUCUAUCUAAUAGAUGCCAUCUAAGGAUAAAAGCUAUUAUCGAUACAGAAAAAUAUGUGAGCGCAGAUCGGUGAAGCGAAAAUCAAAUAGUAAUAAAAUCGAUAAUAACAAAAUUGCAUUGGAAGAGUUUGUCGAGUAUAAGUAGAACUGUUAACUUGUAUUUAUAUAAAAGAUAGUAAGAAUUUUUACACUAAUAAAUAAAUUAAGAUGAGAAAUAAACGAAAGGGCACUUCGAUUUUCGAUUACGUGGUUCACUUCGUGAAGAAUAGACUUGCAUGAUCGUGAAGAGAAUCCUCCAAGAUUAAUUAUUGCGGCGACCAGUCACGAUAUAUUCACGGAUCGUGAGAAAAAUCGGCGCUUGAAUUUUGAGAGAAAAAUCGUGCCCACGUCUCGACUCGAUUUUCUCCACACGGAGGCGUUUCCACCGAACGGGCCUGUUUUCACGAACACGAUAAAGAUCUUCGAUAGUUGGGCCCAUUACCUGUACACUUUGUGAAAGAGUGACAUAACGCAAGGAGAAGGAAACCGGCUGAAUCGAAUGUGGGAGUAAUCCUUGCGCCGUGUAGGCCGAUCCCAAUUUCGUUCCUUUAAUCGAGUCACGUGGCAUCGAUGCCCGUUCCUCAACUUUUAUACAUUUCUUCAAUCCUCUAAUGUAUCUUCGCUUUUAAAGGAAGAUCGAAGAAUUUAUCGUUUAUUUACCUUGUGGGAUGAAAGUAAUUACAUUGGAAAUUUCCAACAACGUAAUUACUCGUUAGGUUUGAUACUGUGAAAGAUAGGUUACUUAAAAGAAAAAAGGACAGGAUUCUUUCUCUUCCUUAAAUAUUCUUUUACGAGAAAUUUCUUAAAAAGUACGAUCUCAACUUUCUACUUGUUGCUAUUUUCUUUAGAAAAGGAAAAACAAUGCUCGCUUCCUCCUCAAAACGCCCCCAAUUAGAACAACCAUGCAUCGAUCGUACUGUAUAAGCUUGAUACGAGAUAACGAGGAAACAUUGUUUUCACAGAUUUAAACCGACACGGUUUAAAUAGAAAUCGGCGAUCCGGAAUGGAUAUCGGGGAGCGGCCAUGGUCAAACGGGUGUAAUAACGUUUAAACAAAUUCCGCGGUCCGGUCAAUAAUCAAUUUGUCAGGCGCAUCGAUGAAUCCGGCCAAUCCUCUCCCUUUUUCCUUGGCGCGCUUGUACGUGCGUGCGUGUGCGGGGGGAGGGGAGAGAGGGCUAUCGACAACCGCAAAAUCGCACGCGCGUCGCCGCCAAUCGGAUUUCGCGGUGGCCGCCCGUAUUAUUUGCAUAUCGGUUCCAGCGUUGGAAACAACGAGGCCGCCGACGGUGUUGCAUCGACGAGAUUGUGACGCGGAGAGAAGGAAAGGAACGAUGAAUAAAAUGAAUGUGGAGCACGGGGAAAUAAAGCAGUGUGUGGAAGCGCCGGUUUGGGGGAGGGAUUAGAAGGAGGGGGGGAUUUACGAUACGUUGGGACGGUGACUUUUUUUUCGCCGAGUAUCAAUUUGCAUAAUGCGUGUGCACUUCGGCCGAUUAAUGCGAGACGUGGCUCGAAUAUUUUUUUUUUUUUCGAACGUUAAUUCGAAUGUUCGUCGCGGGUGCUUUUAUGCUCGAUUAAUUUCGGCUAAUAGAGCGGAGUGGAAAAAUUCAGGUGAUUAUUAUUUUCUCGGGAUCGAUUUUGUGCUUGGGUUUGAUCGUGUUCUUUCAGGUUUAGUGGAGCAAGGCGAAAGAUGAAGCUUAAUAUUGUGUAAAGAGAUGAAUUAAAGUAGCAAGGAGUAGUAAAUUGGUGAUAUUACUGAGAAAGAUUGAUCGAAGAGGAUGAUUUUAUGAAAAUUUUCCUGCAAAACAAAUGGAACAAAUGGUUUAUGCGCAUAUAAAGAUUGUUUUACAAUUUUCCUCGAAAUAUCUUUUUGCACCGUUUAUCAGCGUGAAACAAAUAAAGUAGGAAUAAAAUAAUAGCAACGAAUUUCACGGUUCAUAGAAACUAUUUUCUAUCUACCCAAAAAUGUAUUACAUCCCUUUCUCUUCAAAGAAUAUAUUCCAUGGAGUAUAAAUCGAUUUUCCAGAACUUUGAUCACAUCAGCAGAAAAACAAGCCAGCCAUCAAUGUCGAUGAAUUUUCACUCGUAAAAAAUUGUACGCCCACCCUGCAGAGAGCUGCAAUUACUUCCACAUACGUUUAUUUUUUCACCCACUCUCGGAAUAAACGUUCAAAGAAAACGUAACUGACUUUCAAAACUCGGCGAUUCAUUGUUACAACUGCAUAUAAUGUUUCCCCGAUGUUUUUUGAGGUAUGACUCUCUUAUAACAAACUUACUUUUUUAUUUAUAAUUUAUAUCAUAAUUUAAAAUUUAUCUCUCGUUAUUAAAAACUUCAAGAAUCAAUUUCCCCCCCCUCAAAAUCGUUACAAUUAAAAUCUUUUUCUUUUCAACGAUUCCACGAAAUAUGUUAAAAAUUAUUGCAUCUCUCGUAUCCUUCUCGGCCAGAUUCGAUUUGAUUCGAUCGAAGACAGGACAUUGCCCGUUGCAAUUUUCCUGAUACCCAAGUCUUUAUUUGAGUUACGAGAUACCGAUACCUGGCAAAAUGCCGUCUCGUCACGACAGGAAGAAGUCACUUUGCCGACUUUCCGCUCCGUGUCUAAUAGACCGUUUGACGCGUACACAUCGUAUAAAGCAAUCGGCGGUAUCACGUGAAAGUCGGUGGAGUAGCGACGGUAAUGUAUAGCCCGAUGUUUGAUUAAUGAACGUGCCGUAAAUUGAUAUCUCGACACGUACGAGCGGCUAUUUUCACUAAACAUUUAGUUGAACAUUUAUUUCACUUUGUUAUCGGUGUAAUUUUAUCGUGAUCGGUUUCUUAACGAUUCGACGGUUGGUCUCGGUUUUUAUCCUUUCUUUCUUUUUCUUUUCUUUUUUUCCUGUUAUUAAGUAUAACGAGUUAAACAUGAGUUAAGCAUGAUGUAUGUGGUGAUGCCGUGUAACGGGUGGAAAUCUAUUUCAUUCCUACGUAUCGAGAAAUUAUUUUUUUAUUAAUCGUAAAAAUGGUAUAAUAAUUUUGAAUUGCGUGUUGGUUAUUCUAAAUUUCAUUUUGAUAAAAAUUAAUUUUUAUUUGUCACGUCGAUAACGUGAGAAUCGAUAUUUAGAUGUCUAUCAAGUUUUUCCAACAAAUGAAAAAUUAGUUUUAGGAGAGAUCGUAUCUAUAUGCAUACUACAGUAGAAACAAAUUUUCCUUUCCGUUGCGCGAAUUCCAUUCUUUAAUUUUUCAUCUGAUGUGAAAAUACAAAUUUAAUUUCUAUGUGUAUGCAUAUUUGUUUUCAAUAUUUAUAUUCGUUCUCGUCGUAUCUCUAUACAUUUUGUAAUCUUAUCUUGGAAUAAAACGAGUUCAAUUGCUUGAUGUCGAGAUUCAAUAUUAUUCAGGAUAGUUAUAGUUACAGAACGAAAAGGUAAUGCCACGUUCCUAAGGUGUUCAUACUGCAGAUUAAACUGCCGAUCUCCUUUUAAUCUUACAGUUAACGAUUUAUUGGUUUUCCAUAUAAUAAAAUAUCUAACUUUAAAUGCCCUGUAAAUUGAAAAUUUUAUGAAAUCGUUAUAAAAUUUGCAUUAUUUCAAAAACGAAAAAAAAAAAAAAAGAAGAAGAACGACGUGUCGUAAUUGAAAACAUCAGACUACCAUAACAGCGUAUAAAAAUCCUGAAAAGAAAUAUAAAUUUGAGAGAACGCUAUAUGAAACUCUUAAAAAUAUAACCAAGUGAAUGCAUAAUCGGAGUAAAUGGACGACGGAGAAAUAUUUCGAGACGCUUUAUUUUAUUAAAUUUUAUUAAAGCGUUCCAAAAUAUUUUAUCAUUUUUUUCUUUUCUUUUUUUUUUUUUCACGCAUCUAUUUGCGAAAAACAUCGAUUUUAUCGAAAUUUUUAGCCCGCAUGGCAUAUUUAAAGUGCGGUAUACGCGCAAAUAUCGUUACGCUAAAAGUAACUUUUCCGAUAGAUCGAAAUUUCCAUUAAAUAUUCAUGGGGCUUUAUACGCGGCCCAGUAAUUGAAACUUCACAUAAUCGGGAAAUGUCGCCGUCCUUGUAGUUAAAUAAAUUUAGCACCAAAUCGAAUAACGAGGAAGAGGUGGAUUUUCGUUGAUAGGAAAUUUAGUUUUUGGCAAAAUUUUAUUCAACGAAUUCGUUGGAAAAAACGAAAGCGUUGAAUUAUUUCUGAUUUUUUUUUUACACUCGAUAUUUAAAUAAUCCAUAAUAAUCUUGGUAUCUAUCUGUUCUAGAUGAGAGAGAGGAAAUUGACAAUAUUGAUCUUAAAAAUGGUAAAAAAAUUGCCCUGUCUAAGGUACAACGAUAUAAUAAUUCAUCAAUCCAGCAAGGAAAAUGUGUUAAAUAGACCUUGUUCGAAUUAAAGAUUCACAAAUCCUAAUAUUCUCGAAGAAGAUCAUUUCAAGAUAUGACAUUUUAAUCUCAUAAAAAUUGUACCUAAUUUUUCGCGACAUACGAGUUUCAUAAUAAUUUCGAAAUUUCUUUCGAUUUUCAGAAAUUUCGAGCUCGUUAUUAAUUACAGGUCUCGAGACAAGUCUCGCCAUAUAGAGCAUACUUGAGAUAUAAACAAACUUUCACAAAAAUCUCUCCCGUCAACACGUAUACCAGCAUCAUAUAUACAGGGUGAUACAUAUGAAGCUAGAAUCGUUUCGAGGAUCGAAACUGGUAUAACCAAAAGCUUAUUCAUCAAUUUUACAUUUAAUCCAAUUAUUAUAUUAUUUAUCAACUUUCCUCUCUCGGAAUCGUUCCCUGAAUCAAAAAAAAAUUUUGAACGUGCAUCACGAUCCCAUUAAACUUGUCCCUCCUUGGAGAUGCCAUCCUCUCCACGACGGCGUGGAAAAUAAAAGCGGAUGAAUCGGAUCGAGCUCGAUAAUCGCGGGCCAAUAAAGCUGUAGAGCCGCGUCGCAUGCCGCAAAGGAAUGUCGUUUCCGUGGGCCGUGAUCCGUGGGUUUCGUGGUCUGCUCCGGUUAUCGGCACGUGCAUCUGUGUAUUUCCGUCUGCCGUUUCGUCGACUCGUUUCAGAAGGAGGGGAGAAAAAGUCUGAAAAACCUGCGAGGCGGCUUUUGACGAAUUCGUGACGCCGAUUCAACGCUCGAUUCGGCGAACCAUUUUUCACGUUUCUAAUAUACAGUCGAGUUAUCCUGUUUACGCUCGUUCGAACAUUAAUUUCGAAUUUUAAUUUAAAUUUUCAGGGAAUUGAAGGAAAGUUUGAUUGUAUAAGGAGAACUUAGUAUUAGAUCGUUUUAAGAAUAAUUGAAGUUAAAAGGAAUUCAAUGUUCUUUCUUUUUGUGAAUCAUCUUUCGUGAAAAUCAUUUGGAAAUCUUGUUAAAUGUAUAAUUGGCUUUAAUAAAAUUGUUCCUCUUCGAAUUGCAUUGAAUAGUUCGAAAUAGCAUCUACAUUACAUAGAAAUAAUAUCAUUGAACUUUAUUAAGAAAUGAGAAAUAAAAUUUAUGAUCGAAUAUUUAUUGAUUUAAAAAAAAAUAGCAAUCUUUUUACAUAUACCACUUUUAUCAAAUGCUAUAAUAAUUUGAUGUAAAAAUUUAUCGAAUUUUGAAAUUAUUCCAAUCUUUAUCCGAUUAUUAAUUACGAGACAGAUGAAUCCUUAUCGUGUAUUCUUCGAAAAUGAUCGUAUUAUUUCAAUAUUAUUUUAAUAAUUCCUUUCAUACACUGAUCAAAAUCAACAAUGACGUAUUAAUCAAAAUCGGACGAAGAUUAGGGAAUUGAAUGAAAUCUCGAAACAGAUAUAUAGAACAUUAUAUAUAAAGGUGUUCACAUGAUACAAUGUUUUAUGGAGGCAGUAUGUAAUGCCAUGGUUCGUGAUGAUAUAUCGUGUAAAUACGGUGCACGAUAAAGUAUUACCGGAGGUGGGAUCAACCAGGCAUGGAACCGACGAUAAAAUAUUUGGCCGAUACUUGGUCGGUGCUGAAAUUUUUUCGUUGAUGGUAAUUGAUUACGCUUAAUCAAGCUAUCGAGCCCGUGCAAUUUGCAAUCUGCAAUUGUGCACCAACGUUGUGUACGGUAUGGUAAGUUGGUCGUUGGAUUAUAGUUAUUAACCUCUUUUUUUCCUUUUUAUACCGUCUAGUAUGAUUGAACCCGAUGAUGGAUAAAUUUAUUUACCAGUGUCUAGUGAUAUUAAUCGAUACACGAAACUUUUGAUUUAUGCGAUCAACGUUAUUAUUUUUACGUACUCUCCCCUACUCGCUGAAAUUAACAGUAAUAAAAUUAAAACCGAAUCUUUUAUUUCGUUUCUCUUCGUGUAGAAUCAUUUUUUUUUUUAGGGAUAAAUAAGAUUCUUUCUAGAUUUUCUUACCAGAUUUAAAUUUACGUAGGAUAUUCUUCAAAAAUGAUGAAUACACAUUAAUAAUUAUUCUUUGAAAUAAAUUUGAAUAUUCGAUUGAAAAGAUUUGUUCUUUCGAUAUUUACAGUUUUUAUUGUUGAAUAUCCUUAAUAUCAGAUAAUAAUUUGUAAUUAAUAUAAUCUAUUUCGAUUUUAAUCGGUCUGUCGUUACGAUACACAAAAAUGAAAUAAAAUGAGAAAUUUCGCGUGCAUCAUUUGUUUGUUGACAAUUUCGAGAAAAAAAAAAGAAGCUUAAACUUAAAUUUAAUUAAACAACUCGAAACGAUAUAUUAUUUAACAACGCGCGUAAAUUAUUUUUGCUCAUUCCCAUUAAGCUACGUAUCCACGUAUCCAGCCAACGUCUAAUUAUAGGCGUAUAGGAUUAAAUUAGGCAAGUUCCUACAACUGGCCGUGCACGAUAUUACCGAUCCUUAACAUAUAUGAGACGAAACGAUGAUCAAAAUAUAAUAUCGCCGUUUCUACGACGAGUUCGAGCUUAACACUUUUAAACGGGAGCAUAAAUUAGUCGUGUUAUUAGUGUCAUUAAGUUGUUUCGCGUUCCUGGAGUGGCGUUCCUGUGCCCCCUCUUCGAUGCCGCACAGCUACCAUUUCUCUUCGCCUCCGGUGCCGUAAAUAAAGGUGCUCGUCAGAAAAAGGGCCGGUUAUGCUCUCGAAACCGAAAGUGGCAAAGGAAGUGUCGAAUACAGAAGCUCCACUAUUCUUUUAUAACAGAGUUUUUAUAUAUAUAUAUAUAUAUAUAUAUAUAUAUAUAUAUAUAUAUAUAUAAAAUUGUGAAUAAUUUUUCGAUAACUUUUGUUUAAUUUUCAGAAGUGAAAGAUUGGGGUGUCUCGCGUAAGAUUAUUAUACGAUUUCACAAUUGAAGAAAUGAUUUGAAAUGAAAGUUGCAUGGUUUCAAGAAGAUUAUAUUUUAAAGUUAUUUAUUUUAUUAUACACGCAUCCAUAUAUGGAAGAAAUAAAUUACAUUACAUUCCAUGUAUCCCCUCGAAAUUCCAUUCUAUUUUUAUUCCGAAAUAAUCUUUUAACGUGUGAAGUAACAAAUGGGAUAUUCCAGAUGAUAAAGUUGAAACCAAUGAAAUUAAUUAAUAAUAUUGUUUUUUAAAAAAAUGUUUUACGAUUAACGAAUAUUUAUCAAUCUUCUCGUCGCAAAGGAAUUUUGAAUUGAUAUUUAUAAUAUAUAUGUAAAAUUUCAUUUAGCGGAUACAUCAAAUCGCAAAUAAAUUUCAAAUCGAAUUUUCUCACAUCGUAAACCUUUAUGCAUUCAAUCUACCAUUCUAAUGCUGUUAUAACAACAGCACAGAAAGAUUGAAUUGAAUAUUGCUAUAAAAGGAUUGAAACCUCAUACUUCGUUUCAUCCGACGUUUAGACUACGCAUAACUCUAAUACUUAUCUUUGAUGCGACAGCAAAAUAUCAUAACUAACGAUAGAAUCAGCUACGACGAUCGUUACGACACACACACACACACACACACAAACAAGCAUAGAGAAAGAGAGAGAAAUUCGCAGCAUAAUCACAGGAUCUCAUUCACAGUUUCAUUUUUCGCGAGGGAAUAAUUGUUAACAAACGCGUGGCUUCUCUUUUAAAUUAAUGUUUGUCAAACAAAUGUAUUCCACGUGGCCUCACCGAUCGCUCAAAAAGCUCGUUCGCAAACCACUUGCGCAUCCGUGGAUUCGAUCGUUUGCAAAGAGAAAAAAGGAAAAUCGAAGAAGGAGAAGAAGGAGAAGAAGAAAGAUUCGCCCCGACUCAAAGGAAACCGUUUUCUUUUUUCUUUUUUCGACUCUUCUCGAUCCCUCCUCUUUUUUUUCCCUCCCCCCUCGUUCCUUUUCUUUUCACACCUCGAACCGUGACAAGGGGAAAAUAAAAGAAGAGGAAGAAAAACUGUGGAACGAGGAGGUUCGAUCGGAUGGAGAAAUCUUUGAACCGCGUUUCAAAGCGGUAAAACGGACGGCGAAACGUCGGGGCGAGAAUCGAAUGGUAAAGGAGAAUCCAUAAAAAUGGAGUCCGAUUGACGGCGACCGCCAAGAAAGAAAGAAAUGUACCACGAAGAUGUUACGUCUGCCCGUAAAAAUUGGAGGAGAGGAAACGGGGGAGGGAGAGGCGAUAUUUCGAAUCAUGGUUGAAACUUGACGAGCGAGGUGGAAGUCGCGGAACACGUCCCUCUUCUAUUCAACCGGAUUUAUCCGUGAUGGGAUCUGAAACGGGAGAGAGUUGAACAAUAGAAAUGAUUUUUCCGGAAAAAAAAAGAAGAAGGAGGAGAAUCAACACCGCUUGUUUAUUCUUCUUCUCGUACGGAAGGUGGUUAAAAAUGGCUCUAUUAAUUCGAAGGAUGAUUUAACGAGACGACAGCAGUUGUCCACCACAAUCCUGUUGCCUCUCGCCCAACUCCUCCUGCGCUUUUCGACCCUCGUCCGCUAAUAGCAACAAGUUACUUGUGACCCGUCAGCGGGACAGACCCUUGCGACGCCUCUAUAUUUAGUCCGGGUCGAACCACUAGAGAACGGCGAGAAAACACAAAAGAAAGCUGGAGAGCGGCGGCGAAACGAGUGCAAAGGGGACAUCGUGAUAUCUCGCCACGAAGAUUCUGCGGCUUCUGGCUCGCAGCUGCUACCAUGUCGCGGUAAAAACAAUGUACAUAGAUAUGGCAGACGAGCUGAAAGGGCCGGCCUCGCCCUGCUGACGCGGCCAGUUUCAGGAUAUCCGCGAGAUCUUGGAUAAAUUCAACCGAAUUCUUUUGCUCCUCCGCGCAUCAGAAGAGGAAGGGAAACUUUUUCUCCUCGGAUCUCUGUAUUUUGAGAAAGAUUGUUGGAAUAGAUUUUAUUUGACAAUAUGAAAAUUGGGAAUACAGGGGAUAAUUCGUGUGAUAAAGUCGGAAGUAAAGUUAUUUGAUUGUAUAUUACGAGUAUUUUUAUAAUCUCACUAUUGCAAAGUAACAAAAUACGUGUUGAUAAAAUAUUUCGGAUGUAUUGAUACGUUAUGAUAUGAUUGAAAGUUAUGCAAGUUUUGUUGUUGUAUCAUGUUAUCGCCUUCGAAGGCUAAGAUGUUAUUUAAAAAGUUGUUUAAAAUUAUGGAAAUAAUUAACUUCAUAUGCUGGAUGAUAAAUUUCUGUAACCACGAAAUGAAAGCUUUAAUGAUAUUGUUGUAAGAAUAACUUGGGGAUCGCAAAAAUAGCUCUAAGAGCGGCUCUCGUGUCGUUGCAGUGUAUAUAACUGGCAAUUUGAUGUCGAUCCGGAGCAGUACUAUAUGCCGAGCUAUAUACCAUUACCAUAAUAUAGCAGCAAUGACUGAUGCGACGUUAUAUAUGAAUAUUAGAAAUGAAUAUUAACAUACAUGAUUUUCUUGUACAGAGUUACAGAAUAAACGUAAAAUUAUGAUAAGUAAGACUGAUAUCGAAUAUAUUAUAUAUAUAUAUAUAUAUAUAUAUUACAAGAAAUAUUUCAUGUUUUAUGAGACAAAAGUCACACUUAUCUUCUAAUCUUGAUUAAUAUAUGAAUAAUUUCUAUUAAACUCUGUUACAAAUUACAAUUCAAUUAAUAAAUUUUAAUUUUUGUAUGAUAUAUAAAUUGCAUGAAAUAUGAGUAAAUAAAUUAUUUUUAAUUAAUACUUGACUCUAUAAGAAGAUUUCAUUUUAUCUUCACAUUUUGAUUUAAGGUGUCUCUCUAAAAUUAAUUGUAAGACUUGAACUGUAUCAUAAAAUCGAUCGAAGAGAAGAAAUUAAACUUCUUGUCAUAACACUC